ACACACACACACACACACACACACCUUCCUUCAACAUUUGGAGGGAUAUGGAAGGGCAUAUGAGCACCAAUACUGCCAGAUAUAGAAAGGCACUAUAGUUGAAUAAGCAUCAUUUUGAUCUAUUUGGUGACUUGUAUAUAAUGAUAGAAAAGCAAGGAAUAGUGUGCCCAAAUUUUGGAAUGAUCAGGUGUGACUUGACUACACUUUCAUCUUGUCUUCUUUGUUGAAAAUGUAACUGGUUUGCUUCCAUGUGAAAUAUUCCAUUUUUUAAUUACAGUGGUGAGAUUUUACAUAAAUCAUUAAUUAAAAGUUGUCAUCUGUAUAGUUGCUUCUCACAUGAGAUGCAGUGAAGUGUUAGUCCACUUCUUGACUGUCUUAUGCAUCGAAUUUUCAUUUCAUGGUAUCUUUUGUCUGGUUCUAGACCCUAAAGAUAAGCAUUUUCUAAUCCACUGCCAAAACAACAACAGGAGCAUAGGGCAGUCUCCUAUACUACGAGGGAAAAGUAAAUUAAUAAUAUAUUUAUGAAAAUAAAAUGUUGUUUCAGAGUAAGGAUGACGGUGGAAAAUGUUCAGUGAAAGCUUAAGAUUCAGUGUCUGUUUUAUGUUCUGUUCUGCUCUGAUUCUCCUGCUUCAGGUUGUUAAGUGUGUGCAGCCUCAAGCACUGGAAUUCAGCUCUGAGGCAGGGAAGUGCACUCACCGCCAAUAUGGGACCACUUGGGUCGAGCCUUCACUGCAGCUUUCGCUUUUCUACGUGAUAUAAAUAUCUAGAAUAUUAAUUGUUUGAUACCCUGAGUCUUUCAGGCAUUGAAUAAAAUUAUUUUUGAAGCAAAUAUUUCCUCUUUUUAGUGUCAAAUAUUGCAAUUGUUAAAUAUUGUAACUUUAGACUUGGAGUGUGACUAAAUUAAUAGAUAUUGUAAAUAACUGAAUGGACAAUAUUUUGUUACAUUUUCUGAGAACUCUGUCUAUUAUGUGUUUCAUCACAAAAAUGAAAGGGAGAAGGAAACUGCUCUGUAGUUUGAGAGAAAAAUAAUCUUUAUCAUUAACAUGUUGGGAAGUUGUAAGGCCAGCAGAUCUGCACUAAAAAAAAUCAGAAGUUAAAUUUUUGUAAAGUAAAGGCUUUUUAAUAACUCUGUAGAAGUGUUCCUUAUCCCACUUUUAGUAAAGCAGUAUCUAAUGAGAAAUUGCAGAAAGAUAUCACGGUGAUUCAGUCAAGCCUCAGUAGGGCAGUCAACAGUAGAAAAUUCACACAUCUCGUGGCAAAAAAAUCUAAUUGAGAUAUAGUAUGUGUUACUGAAAUGGUUUAUUUGUAGCUGUGUCAGUUUAAAGCAGUUCAAAAACAUGUCUUACGUUGCUGGUCAUAUUAAUGAAACUGUAGCAUUACUUUCUAGUUUCAAAUCUAUUUUGUUUCUCUGCCAGGCGCACAGAUUUUAGCAUCAGAACUAAAAUUUGCUUUCCUGGCACUACCAUUGUUUUGAACCAGUUAUUUCUCUCUCAACAUGGUGAAUUUAUUCAGUAGCAGCUUCAUAUUUUCAUUUCUGCAAUACCAUACAUGUUACUUAUUGUUGUAUUUGCUAAGUUGUGAAGAGUUUUUAGAAAUUUCAGAUUGAUUGUCUGUUGUUGUGGAUACGUAGAGUUAUUCGCUGUCAUACCUGUCCAAACACUUAAAAUUUUGAUUAAUAGAAUUUUAUGUGGUACUUUGUGUUUUUAAUAAAUCUUUGUGUGUUUCA